CGUCGCCCGCGCAAACAGCCAAACAUGGAAGGUGGCUCAGGUUGUCGCUGAGCUGAGCUGACAAGCAACUGAAGCAAGGCAUUGCAGGCCGUGGUCGCAUGACCUAACCAGCCCCCUAAAACAUUGAAGAAGUAUUCACCGGUUUAUCUCAGAAUGUUCAAAGAUUCAGUUUCUUUAUGUUAAUUAGGACUGGCACAUGAAGGAGGACGACCAACAAACCUCCCCAGUCCCCGGGCACCGCGGGGCGGCGUGUUGAUGGGCGGGAGUGUCCGCGGCAUUGUUAUCACUAGUGGCAGAGUAGACUUGAUAAUCUACAUAUUCUCAGGUUACUUAAUACAGGAGUUUGGUGCAGUCCUCCUUUGCAGCUGCAAUGGAUGAGUGUGAAGUUCUUGAAGUAAAGACAUGCGAAUCUCAGGAUCCUGUCACUAACCUGAAGAAAGUGGAGUUGGAGAUUAAGAAGGUGACACAGGAGAUCCAGGCUCUUCAAGGUCGCAAGCAGCAGCUCAUUUCCAAAAGAGACAAACUCAAGGAUGCCAUUCAACAAGAUAAAUCUGCUCACCUUGCUCAGAAGAACUGGGAUAGGGAAGAUUUCCCAUGGUCCAAGGAGCUGGAGAAGAUACAGAAGAGCCUUUUCAAAAUACCUAAGCUACGAGCUCACCAGCUGCCCACCAUGAAUGCUACUAUGUCUGGGGUUGACUGUAUCCUCAUUAUGCCUACAGGAGGAGGGAAGUCUCUCUGCUACCAACUGCCAGCUCAUGUUUCUAAAGGUGUCACCUUAGUUGUCUCUCCCCUGGUGUCCUUGAUGGAAGACCAGAUUAUGGCUCUGAGAGCUCUGAAUGUUGCAGCGAUGAUGUUGUCCGCCUCAGUUACCAGAGAGGAGGUCAAUGCCGUCCAUACAGAAAUGACAAAUCCCCAAAGCAAAUUAAAGCUCUUGUAUGUUACACCAGAGAAGCUUUCCAAGUCAAAGAGAUUCAUGACAAAACUUCAGAAAAUGCAUCAGAUGGGAAGGUUUGCCCGCUUGGCCAUUGAUGAGGUUCAUUGUUGCUCGCAGUGGGGCCAUGACUUCAGACCAGACUACAAGUUCUUGGGAAUCAUGAGAAAGAUGUUCCCUGGCACUCCUAUCCUGGGACUCACUGCUACUGCCACAUCAAGAGUAAUUCUAGAUGUGCAGAAGAUACUAGACAUACAAGGCUGCUUGAUUCUCAAGGCAUCCUUCAAUAGACCAAAUUUGUUUUAUGAGGUGCGACCAAAGCCAUCAUCACAAGAAGAAUGUGCAAACCAGAUUCAACAGAUGCUUCAAAAGGAAUUCAAGGGCCAGUCAGGCAUUAUCUACACCAUGACAAUCAAGGAUGCUGAGCAGCUUGCAGGUGACCUGAGGUCUCGGGGACUACGUGUAGCUCCAUAUCAUGCCCAGCUUGAAGCAGAUGUCAGGAGCAGAGUUCAUAUGAAGUGGGUGAAGAAUGAUUAUCAGGCCGUAAUUGCUACCAUUGCCUUUGGGAUGGGAAUAGAUAAGCCUGAUGUUCGCUAUGUCAUUCACCACUGUAUUUCAAAGUCCAUGGAAAACUUCUAUCAGGAAAGUGGAAGAGCAGGGAGAGAUGGUGAACCAGCAAAAUGUAUUAUCUUCUGGAAAUUUUCUGAUCUUGCAAGGCAGAGCACCAUGGUCUUUACUGAGCAGACUGGCUUAGAAAACUUGUAUGGUCUGAUCACAUAUUGCUUGGAUGAAACGAGAUGUCGAAGGAAUCUCAUUGCUGAGCAUUUUGAUGAGGCGUGGGAAACUGCAGACUGUGCUGGUAUGUGUGACCACUGCAGGACACCACGGGAAGUGAAGAUGCUGGACCUAACUGAUUAUGGGGAUAAGCUUCUGAUGAUUCUACAGAAAUCUGCAAGUCUUGACCAGAGGUUAACAGGUCAGAAACUGGUUGACCUACUUCUUGGCAAGGGUGCUACCAAGCAACGUGUCCAAGAGGCAAUUGCUACUGGACUAAGUAGGGACAAAGCAGAAAGUAUUGUGGCAUUUUUACUAAUUGAUGGAUUCCUCAAGGAAGAUUUUCAUUUCACUCCAUACAGUACCCUCAGCUAUAUAGUGCCAGGACCUAAAGCAGAAGCUGGAAUCAAACCUAGUCCCAUGGCAAUUGCAGGAUCAAGAAACUUAGAAAAUAUUUGCUUGCCAUCAUCUCAGACAGGUAGAUCAGGCAUGGACAAAGUAAAGCUGCACUCUAAACAAAAGACUUCAAAAGACACUACUAAUCAUUUUGUGAGUAGUAGUUCCAAGAAAGAAAAUGGAUCCAAGAGAAGUAGAAAUACUGCAUCCAACAGCCCAGAUUCAAUUCCUUCAAUUGAUAUUUCCUGGAGUGAUUCUGAGCCCUCAGGCACCAAGAAAAGAAGAGCAGUUGUCAUAGAGGAUUCUGGUGAUGAAAUGGAUGACUAAAUACAUGUGUGCAAUCAAGGACUUCGGGGGCACAAGCGGUAAGCCCACCAACGGGCAGACCGCUCGCCUGUGUUUGAGGGCACUGCUUGAUCGUGUGGACAGGCCUUUAGCCGGAAGGUGUCCCAGCGGGCAGGGUGCACCACGACUGUGCUUCCCAGCAGGUGUGGCAGUACUCGACGCUUCCUGCCACUGGGUCCCAGGACUCUGCUUUCAGGCAUACUAAAGGAGCAGUGUGUCUGUUGGAAAGAAUGGUUGUAUGAAUGACCAAAAGUAAACUUAGGGGACAUUGA